AUGGGUUACAUCUGUGAGGUCACAAAGAGUUGGACACAACUGAGCCUGAGCACAGAUUCUGAUGCUCCAAUUCUAGACCUGGCCUACUUUUCCAGUUACAGUGCUGUUCCUCUGUCUUCUACAUGCCCUGGUUUCUUUCUCCUUCUCUACCAUCAAGAAAGAGCUCAGUGGCGCCUGCCUGGAAUACAGGACUCUGGAUCAGGGGUCUGCAGUAUUCCUGAAGAGGAGCAGAAUGUGGAGCACUGGAAGCCUUGGAAUGAUGAAGACUGAUGAUCUGGCAGAGGGUCGGAGGGGAGUGUCUAGAGUCAGGGAAACCAUAAGUGUGAUGUGGAGGAGGGUGUGGGUGAGGGAUGGUGACAAGGCAGCAUUCAGCCGCCUGUCUCCUCAUUGCGUGCUGUAAGCUGGCGAAAAUCAUGGCCCUGGAGUCCACCUGGACCACCCGCAAAGAACUGCCUCCUACAAGGUGGUCUCAGUGGCAAGGUGGCUCCAUGUGGUAAUUUAUUAUGUCUAAGCUCCAGCUAAUCUGAACUAACCCCUCAGCUUCACCCUGUAAAUCUCUCACAGAACUCUCAUUGAGUCUUUAUAGUUUUUGUCACACUCUGUACUUCAAUAUUAAAAAAAAAAUUUCCAUUAAUUGUCACCAUAACUACAUAAUAAACUCUAUAGUGGCAAGAGCAAUGUCUGUUUUGUCACCAAAUAUAACACCAAGAAUAGUUCUUGAAACAUAAUAGUCAAUUGCCUAGUAAAUACAUGAUGAAUAAAUAGGUGAAUUAAUGAAUGAAUAAAGCAUAUGUCAGGUUUUUUUUGUAACUUAGAGUGUUAAUACCAUUUUCACAAAGUGUGGGAUGUGAUUUUGCAAAUGUGAUGUACUUACAGUUUCCAGUUUUAAUUGAA
rnacentral:lncRNA from 1 species